AUCCAACUGACGAGCCUCAAAUAGGACGAAAUGCGCGUUGUCCUGGAU
rfam:Trichobilharzia regenti genome assembly, scaffold: TRE_scaffold0065703